UACGUAGGGUGCGAGCGUUAAUCGGAAUUACUGGGCGUAAAGCGUGCGCAGGCGAUUUUGUAAGCCAGAUGUGAAAUCCCCGGGCUUAACCUGGGAAUGGCAUUUGGGACUGCAAGGCUGGAGUUUGGCAGAGGAGACUGGAAUUCCUGGUGUAGCAGUGAAAUGCGUAGAUAUCAGGAGGAAUACCGAUGGCGAAGGCAGGUCUCUGGGCUAUAACUGACGCUCAUGCACGAAAGCGUGGGGAGCAAACAGG
rnacentral:rRNA from 1 species